GGUCUGUGGCUCAAAGGUUAAGAGCACUGCAUUGGAGAUGCAGAGAUUGCGGGUACGAAUCCCCGCUGGACCA
rnacentral:tRNA from 1 species